CUAAAAUCUUCACUAGCAGUCUGUAGCCUUAUUUUUAUAGAAUUUCAUAUUGGAAUAUAAAAAACUUAGAAAUCUUAAUCAUACUAUGCAAAUCACUUCACUUUCAGUGAAUCCAAUGCAGCUUUAGAAAUAUUUGAUAACUAGUAUUAGACUUCCUCUUUCCUUACCAAGUUCCUCCUCCAUUAUAAUCUUUUUGUGGUGUUAGUCUUCCUCUCCUGCUAAGAUUUGUUUAUACUCACUUAUAUUUUUGUUGUACCCUACUGAUUCCCUCUUCAGAGUCUUGUGAGGAUUAUAGCAAGUUUCCACUCUUGCACUUCUAAUGCUAGUCUUCCAUUAAUAUUUUAUUGGGUGUAACAGCUAAUUACCAUUUGGAUAUUACAUGGAUGUUUGUUUACAUUAUGCUACUGACAUUUUGUCAUCUCAGAACUUUUGAAACUUGUUUCCAUGCUAGCCUAAUUCAAAUUUUAUUUUAGUAUCUGUUUCCUACAGUGUACUUUCAAGAACCACCUUUUUGGAGGUGGGCUGAAGAGGCAGUUAAAGAUGUGCUGAUGCUAAGUAUCUGGAUUGAUUGUGCUGAAGACUGGACUGUGUUCUAUGCAACAUGUACAUUACAGGCAAUGACCCUGCAAACUUUCUGAACAUGCCUCAAACCUGACCUGCAAGAGCUGCUUCUAGUGGAGAGAUCCUGAAACUGGAAAAGUGAGACUUACAACUCUCCCCCUCCUCCCCCAUUUAAAGUAAACUCCGUAUAAACACCAUGCUGAAACCUGCUGAAAGGGGGACCAAUAAGUCAGCUUUCAAGAGCCUGAAAUAAAAGUAUAGGAGAGAGAAACAAUUAUCUAGCAGCCCUGCAAAGAGAGGCAGACUGGUGUGGAGCUGGUUUGAGAAGAAAUUGACUGCUUUUGAGUCUCUGGUAAAGGAAAAUGCUGAAGAGAGGGGGAAUCUUCCUAUGUGUCAGAGCUCUCUGGUGAAGACCCCUUACGCCCGUCCCUCCAAAACAAACUAUCAGCCUUAUAAAUAUUUCUCAUGUCUGUCUUUGAAAUGCCAGCCAACAGAGCAUCCUCUGACAGGCUGACAAUGCUGAGCAUUUCUCCAGAGUCAGAUUUUGCAUUCAAAAGACCAACUCUAGGUGUGGGUGAAAAAUCCUUUUGAGGACCCUGGCCAAGCUGCUGCCAGCCAAAGGAAAGAAUGAGAUACAUUUAACAAAAUAAAUAAAGCCACUCAUUCUUUAUUAGUUGUAUUUUACAUUUAUUUUUUACUUUACUGGAUCUGUUGUGAUUGCACAAGGAACCUUUGUCAUGUUGUCAUUAGCUCUGUUAAGUGUAGCUAGUGCCAUAAAUGUUUACUACCCUUAAAGUCCCUUUAGAAGCUAAAAAUUGAGUUUGUUGCUAUUGUUCAAUAACUUUUGUUUUAAUAGACACCAAUUUUGAAUUUACAUCAAUCCAAACAGUGAUUCAGUAUGAAAAGAUCACUCACUCCUAGAGAAAGAGAAAGCUGGUCAAUAGGAUCCUUCUGACUACCGGGUCCAAAGAGGAAGGUGGGAAUGUGACGUUAGUAGCACUCACCUUACUGUCUUGCUGUCUGGAAGAGAACAAGGCACCAUAAUACUUUGGCGUAUGUAGAGCAAAAAGACAUCAGUAGCACUGAUGAAUAUGGAGUGUGGGAUAUAAAGCUGCCGCCUCCUCUAAAGAUCUGUUCCACUCUUGCAUGUUGGGCACAAAACAGAAAAAUAUAUCUGCAUGAUAGGAACCUACCUUCUUGGUGUCAUUGUGGGAAUACUGUAUCCCAGCUAUAUCCUUAAUUGUGCUGUCUCUUUUGUGCUAAAGUAUUAAAGGUAGACUGCAGAGCAAAAAUGAUUGUCAAGUGAGAGUUUAUCAUGUUUCUCUGUGAAGAGUAAAGUGUGACUGAUGGACAAAGUUGGUAUUUGAUUAUAGAAAAGUUAGGCAAUGAUGGCUGUUUGUAGUUCUAAUACCCCUAGAGGGCUGAUGACUAAACGGAAUAUUAGAUACUUGUAUCACUGGAAUUAGUAUCAAAAGGAAAAUCUAUUAUUACAACUCCAAAUAAAUGUGAGCUGAGACAGCAUGUUUUUUGCUAGAGCUUUGUAUUUAAAUAGCUCUAUCUUGGCUGACAGAACACCUGCAUCAGCUUGAUCCAUCAGAAAUGUAAAACAUUACCUCCUCACUACACACACUCUACCAUUUUUCAAUUCCUCUGCAGGGUGGGAAACAAAGCAGGUUCUGGAAUUACCCUCUGUCAUGUUCUAAGAAAUCCUUAUUUUAAAAUGGCAAAUAAGUUACUUAUCUCUAGCUUGCCAGCAGCAUUUAAUAGGUUUUAGCUGUAGAAGCUUUCAGUACCAAAUGAGUCUUCCCACAUAACUACAUAUCCCUUAUAUUGCAUAAUGUGAGAGCCAAAAUCUAAGAGUCAAUGAAUGAAUUAAAAAUAUAAAAAUAAAGGGGAUGGUUAAAAGCAGAAAAUAAUAUUCAGAAUCAAAAUUCAGUGUGGUCAUAAUACCAUGUAG